UAUAUGAGGAGGUAGAGGAGGAGGUAGAGGAGGAGGUAGAUAACCAGAGGUCAUUGGCAGAGGAGGAGGUAGAGGAGGAGGUAGAUGAGGAGGUAGAUGAGGAGGUAGAUCACCAGAGGUUAGUGGUAGAGGAGGUAGAGGAGGAGGUAGAGGGGGUAGAUAACCAAAGGUUAGUCUUAGAGGAGGUGGUAGAUGAGGAGGUAGAGGAGGAGGUAGAUAACCAGAGGUUAGCACAUUGUUAUUUCUGGCCAGUCACAUCACAACAAGGUCCCAAAUACCACAUACAGCGCUCCCUCUCUCGCCUCCCUCCUCACCCCCUUCUUUCCCCUCCCUCCUCUCCCCCUUCUCUCCCCUCCCUCUUUUCUCCCUUCAAG
ensembl:lncRNA